GAAUGAGAUGUGCAGCCAGUCAUCACCCAGUGUGAACUCCAUUUUGAAUUAAUGUCAUCAAUGUUUCCAUCUGAAAGGACGAUGAUAGCAUUCAUGAU